AUGAACGCUGGCGGCAGGCCUAACACAUGCAAGUCGAGCGGUAGCACAGGAGAGCUUGCUCUCCGGGUGACGAGCGGCGGACGGGUGAGUAAUGUCUGGGAAACUGCCUGAUGGAGGGGGAUAACUACUGGAAACGGUAGCUAAUACCGCAUAACGUCGCAAGACCAAAGUGGGGGACCUUCGGGCCUCAUGCCAUCAGAUGUGCCCAGAUGGGAUUAGCUAGUAGGUGGGGUAAUGGCUCACCUAGGCGACGAUCCCUAGCUGGUCUGAGAGGAUGACCAGCCACACUGGAACUGAGACACGGUCCAGACUCCUACGGGAGGCAGCAGUGGGGAAUAUUGCACAAUGGGCGCAAGCCUGAUGCAGCCAUGCCGCGUGUAUGAAGAAGGCCUUCGGGUUGUAAAGUACUUUCAGCGAGGAGGAAGGCAUUAAGGUUAAUAACCUUAGUGAUUGACGUUACUCGCAGAAGAAGCACCGGCUAACUCCGUGCCAGCAGCCGCGGUAAUACGGAGGGUGCAAGCGUUAAUCGGAAUUACUGGGCGUAAAGCGCACGCAGGCGGUUUGUUAAGUCAGAUGUGAAAUCCCCGGGCUCAACCUGGGAACUGCAUUUGAAACUGGCAAGCUUGAGUCUUGUAGAGGGGGGUAGAAUUCCAGGUGUAGCGGUGAAAUGCGUAGAGAUCUGGAGGAAUACCGGUGGCGAAGGCGGCCCCCUGGACAAAGACUGACGCUCAG
rnacentral:rRNA from 1 species